rnacentral:rRNA from 1 species
AACGCCCGGUCCCAUUCCGAACCCGGAAGCUAAGCCUGGUAGCGCCGAUGGUACUGCAACCGAAGGGUUGUGGGAGAGUAGGACGCCGCCGAAC